AUUGAACGCUGGCGGCAGGCCUAACACAUGCAAGUCGAGCGAGCGGCGGACGGGUGAGUAAUGUAUGGGGACUGCCCGAUAGAGGGGGAUAACUUCUGGAAACGGUAGCUAAUACCGCAUACUAUCGGAUAACCCAUAUGGGAUUAGCUAGUAGGUGGGGUAAUGGCUCACCUAGGCGACGCUUCCUAGCUGGGCUGAGAGGAUGAGCAGGCACACUGGGACUGAGACACGACCCAGACCCCUACGGAGGCGGCAGUGGGGAAUAGUGCACAGUUGGCGCGAGCCUGAUGCAGCCAUGCCGCGUGUAUGAAGAAGGCCCGAGGGUUGUAGAGUAAUUUCAGUCGGAAAGCGUUACCGACAGAAGAAGCACCGGCUAACUCCGUGCCAGCAGCCGCGGUAAUAC
rnacentral:rRNA from 1 species